rnacentral:rRNA from 1 species
GGACGGAGAAGGCUAUGUUGGCCGGGCGACGGUUGUCCCGGUUUAAGCGUGUAGGCUGGUUUUCCAGGCAAAUCCGGAAAAUCAAGGCUGAGGCGUGAUGACGAGGCACUACGGUGCUGAAGCAACAAAUGCCCUGCUUCCAGGAAAAGCCUCUAAGCAUCAGGUAACAUCAAAUCGUACCCCAAACCGACACAGGUGGUCAGGUAGAGAAUACCAAGGCGCUUGAGAGAACUCGGGUGAAGGAACUAGGCAAAAUGGUGCCGUAACUUCGGGAGAAGGCACGCUGAUAUGUAGGUGAAGUCCCUCGCGGAUGGAGCUGAAAUCAGUCGAAGAUACCAGCUGGCUGCAACUGUUUAUUAAAAACACAGCACUGUGCAAACACGAAAGUGGACGUAUACGGUGUGACGCCUGCCCGGUGCCGGAAGGUUAAUUGAUGGGGUCAGCGCAAGCGAAGCUCUUGAUCGAAGCCCCGGUAAACGGCGGCCGUAACUAUAACGGUCCUAAGGUAGCGAAAUUCCUUGUCGGGUAAGUUCCGACCUGCACGAAUGGCGUAAUGAUGGCCAGGCUGUCUCCACCCGAGACUCAGUGAAAUUGAACUCGCUGUGAAGAUGCAGUGUACCCGCGGCAAGACGGAAAGACCCCGUGAACCUUUACUAUAGCUUGACACUGAACAUUGAGCCUUGAUGUGUAGGAUAGGUGGGAGGCUUUGAAGUGUGGACGCCAGUCUGCAUGGAGCCGACCUUGAAAUACCACCCUUUAAUGUUUGAUGUUCUAACGUGGACCCGUGAUCCGGGUUGCGGACAGUGUCUGGUGGGUAGUUUGACUGGGGCGGUCUCCUCCUAAAGAGUAACGGAGGAGCACGAAGGUUGGCUAAUCCUGGUCGGACAUCAGGAGGUUAGUGCAAUGGCAUAAGCCAGCUUGACUGCGAGCGUGACGGCGCGAGCAGGUGCGAAAGCAGGUCAUAGUGAUCCGGUGGUUCUGAAUGGAAGGGCCAUCGCUCAACGGAUAAAAGGUACUCCGGGGAUAACAGGCUGAUACCGCCCAAGAGUUCAUAUCGACGGCGGUGUUUGGCACCUCGAUGUCGGCUCAUCACAUCCUGGGGCUGAAGUAGGUCCCAAGGGUAUGGCUGUUCGCCAUUUAAAGUGGUACGCGAGCUGGGUUUAGAACGUCGUGAGACAGUUCGGUCCCUAUCUGCCGUGGGCGCUGGAGAACUGAGGGGGGCUGCUCCUAGUACGAGAGGACCGGAGUGGACGCAUCACUGGUGUUCGGGUUGUCAUGCCAAUGGCACUGCCCGGUAGCUAAAUGCGGAAGAGAUAAGUGCUGAAAGCAUCUAAGCACGAAACUUGCCCCGAGAUGAGUUCUCCCUGACCCUUUAAGGGUCCUGAAGGAACGUUGAAGACGACGACGUUGAUAGGCCGGGUGUGUAAGCGCAGCGAUGCGUUGAGCUAACCGGUACUAAUGAACCGUGAGGCUUAACCUUACAACGCCGAAGGUGUUU